GACGUAGGGCGCGAGCGUUGUCCGGAUUUAUUGGGCGUAAAGAGCUCGUAGGCGGCUUGUCGCGUCGACUGUGAAAUCUCCGGGCUUAACCCGGAAAGGUCAGCCGAUACUGCGGGGCUAGAGUGCAGAAGGGGCAACUGGAAUUCUCGGUGUAGCGGUGAAAUGCGUAGAUAUCGAGAGGAACACCUGCGGCGAAGGCGGGUUGCUGGGCUGACACUGACGCUGAGGCGCGAAAGCUAGGGGAGCGAACAGG
rnacentral:rRNA from 1 species